CCUGUAUCCCUCAUAUUUGUUCAAAAGAUAUAUAAAUUGACUUUAUUUUUCCCAACCGCUUCCGGGGGAAGAAUGACCUGCAACAAAUCAAAUAUCCUUUCAACGUUCAUUUCUAACGUGAUUAGAAUAGGACAUGUUUAAGAAGGUUGAUUUUCUGGGACCAAUCAAUGUAUUUUUGGAGAGAAUUUGCUUAACGGGAAAGCAUAUAAAACGUAAUGCCCAUUUUCUGGGUUUAUUUUUAUUUUUUUUGUGUUAAUCCUAUACCUGUUGAUACCACAUUUAAGGUCCUGCUUUGUUUACAAUGUCAGUCAGAUUACCUAGUGUACACUGACAUGGACGUACUUUCAGUGUGACAGCAGACAACAGUGCAACAUGCUGGCCUCAUCCAUGUUCCUGAAAGGACAAAAUACGAUUUAAAAUUAAACUAUUGAAAAACUAGGAGUAUGAGAUUGGUGGUAGGUAACCAUUGAGGCUUUAAAGUUUUGUAUGCAUAUUAUUGUUUCCUGUACAGGAAACAAAAUGUGUGAUGCUUAUACCCAGCUCUGUAAGUCAUGCCCUUUUCCUGAAUCACAAUUUUUAUACUGAUGUUCACUGCUCGGUGAGGGUAUAAGAAAUACAUAUUUUGGGUCCCCUUUAUUAAUAAAGAGGUGUCUGAUGAAUACCCUUGUCCAGUGGUAGGCAAUCUUUGGCACUCAAGAUGUUGUGGACUACAUCUCCCAUGAUGCUUUGCCAGCAAUAUUGUUGUAACAGCAUUAUGGGAGAUGCGACUAAGGUGUUGGUCCAUUCCACUGUCCUUUCUCGCCUUGACUACUGUAAUCCACUUCUCAGUGGUCUUACGUGCUCCCAACUUGCGCCGUUACAGUCUAUAAUGAAUGCGGCGGCGAGGCUCAUCUUCUUGUCCGCCCGCACCUCCCAUGCCUCACCCUUCUGUCAGUCCCUACAUUGGCUUCCUAUAAAAUAUAGAGCUCAAUUUAAAAUUCUGGUUCUUGCUUUCAAAUCUCUACAUAAUGCUGCUCCCACCUAUCUAUCCUCCCUUAUACACAAGUAUGUCCUUUCUAGGCCCUUACGAUCUGCCGAAGACUUACGUCUAUCUUCUGUCCGUACUCCCACCUCUGAUGCUCGCCUUCAAGAUUUCUUGAGGGCUGCACCAUUCCUGUGGAACUCGCUUCCCUCCUCCGUUAGAUGCUCACCCAGUCUCCACUCUUUCAAAAAAUCAUUAAAGACCGACUUCUUCAUAAAAGCAUAUCCAUUAAACUGUUAAUAGCUCCUGACUGAUUCCUCUUUGGCAACUGUCACUAGUCUAAUACUAUCCUUACCUUUU